UUUCCGUAGGUGAACCUGCGGAAGGAUCAUUAUUGUAUAACCGAGGUGCGAGGGCUGUCGCUGACCCGAAAGGUCGUGCACGCUCUAGUGCCCUCACACACAUCCAUCUCACCCCUAUGUGCACCACCGCGUGGGUCCCCCUUUGGCUUGUUCGGAGGGGGGCUUACGUUUUCACACAAACUUUGUAUGCAGUGAAGAAUGUAUUUUUUGUUUUUGCGAUCACGCAAUCAAUACAACUUUCAACAACGGAUCUCUUGGCUCUC
rnacentral:misc_RNA from 1 species